rnacentral:rRNA from 1 species
UACGCUGGCGGCACGCCUAACACAUGCAAGUCGAACGAAGUAGCAAUACUUAGUGGCAGACGGGUGAGUAACAUGUAGGUAUCUGCCCUUUGGCCUGGAAUAACACGAGGAAACUUGUGCUAAUACCGGAUAAGUCUUUACGGAGAAAGCUUUAUGCACCAUUGGAUGAGCCUGCACUUGAUUAGUUUGUUGGUGGGGUAAUGGCCUACCAAGACUGUGAUCAAUAGCUGAUUUGAGAGGAUGAUCAGCCACAUUGGGACUGAGACACGGCCCAAACUCCUACGGGAGGCAGCAGUGGGGAAUCUUGCACAAUGGAGGAAACUCUGAUGCAGCGAUGCCGCGUGAGUGAAGAAGGCCCUUGGGUUGUA